GUGGACUUCAACACUGAGGUGGACACAAAGAACAUUCUGGUGGCAGCAUGUGUCUUAAAGGAUUUUCUUCGAAAUAUUCCAAAAAGUGUUUUCUCCACUGAUAUUUUUGAUGAGUGGCUGGGCAUCAUGGACGGAGCUGAUGAAGAUGAAGAGAAAAUAAGGAGAGUUAAGAGGGCAUUGGAGCGGCUUCCUAGGAUGAAUUUCAUUCUUUUGAGGCAUCUAUUUGACUUGUUGUGCAACAUCAAGCAACAAGCAACCGUAAAUCAGAUGACGUCAUACAACCUGGGAGUGUGCUUUGCUCCUAGUCUUCUUUGGCCACCAUGUUCUUCCAGUCCUGAG